rnacentral:rRNA from 1 species
AAAAGGUGCUUGCACCUUUGGCGUCGAGCGGCGGACGGGUGAGUAAUGCUUGGGAAUAUGCCUUAUGGUGGGGGACAACAGUUGGAAACGACUGCUAAUACCGCAUAAUGUCUACGGACCAAAGUGGGGGACCUUCGGGCCUCACGCCAUAAGAUUAGCCCAAGUGGGAUUAGCUAGUUGGUGAGGUAAUGGCUCACCAAGGCGACGAUCCCUAGCUGGUUUGAGAGGAUGAUCAGCCGCACUGGGACUGAGACACGGCCCAGACUCCUACGGGAGGCAGCAGUGGGGAAUAUUGCACAAUGGGCGCAAGCCUGAUGCAGCCAUGCCGCGUGUGUGAAGAAGGCCUUCGGGUUGUAAAGCACUUUCAGUAAGGAGGAAAGGUUAAGUGUUAAUAGCACUUAGCUGUGACGUUACUUACAGAAGAAGCACCGGCUAACUCCGUGCCAGCAGCCGCGGUAAUACGGAGGGUGCGAGCGUUAAUCGGAAUUACUGGGCGUAAAGCGUACGCAGGCGGUUUGUUAAGCGAGAUGUGAAAGCCCCGGGCUCAACCUGGGAACUGCAUUUCGAACUGGCAAA